rnacentral:rRNA from 1 species
AUGGCAUCCCGGCUGGAGCUGCUCAUGUCGCAGGGGAUGCGACUGUGGAGCUAUCUCACCUCCUCAUCCGCCUCUGCAGCAGGAACCGGAGUUGCUCUUGCAUCCUCCGUUACUCUUGCCAGUUCCAGAAGCCAACCUCCGCACCGGAACCGUGACCCCCCAAGAAACAGGGCAAACGCGCCCGGGAGGGCCCCCAAGAAACAGUUUGCAUGCAGAGGAUUCUCUAAUUCUCUGACGCGCAGCCGCUUGAAUAAAACUCAUGCUCAAACUCGUAUAUCCGCCUGCCGCUCCUUCACCCAGCUCUCCCAACACAAGGGAAGGGCAUCUCCACGAGCGCCCGCGCCCACAACCUGCUCGUCCAGAAGAGAACGCCGGCAGGCUGGCCGGCCACCCCGCUAUCGCCCACGCCCUCGAGCAGCGUCAGCGCGGCGACCCUCCCUUACCGAGCAAGUGUUGGCAUUCCUUUUGGCCGCGGCGAGGUCGAGCGUGGAUGGCACGGUGAGGGCGCCUCUGAGGACUUUGGAUGGUGCCGGUGGCCCGUGCCUAUCGCUGGUGAAGGCGUUGGCCUCCAUCAGCAAGUCCGACGCGGCCGUGUGGGUGAUCGAGGAGGGCCAGCUACUAAAACGUCAUGUUGGCGGGGAGCUACUACGCAAUGCCAACUCCUGGAACUACCUCCUCGGUGGGCUGCUCAAGAAUGGCAGAGCCACCGAAGCGUGCGACCUCCUUGAGGCCAUGGAGAGUGAAGAUGGAUUCGGCAAGACGGCAGAUGUUCAUGGAAUGCUGACGCCGAGGAUCACAAUCCACACAUCAAGGGCUCCUGACACGUGGGACCAGGCGAACAAGCCAAGGUCCAUCUUUGCCGAGUUCCCCGCUCGGCAAAGACAGCCAAUAGGUGGCCGACACGUGUCAGCUCCUAACACGUGGGACCAGGCGAACAGGCCGAGGGCCAUCUUUGCCGAGUGCCCCUCUCGGCACAGCCAGCCAGUAGGUGUCCGACACGUGUCAGCUCCUGACACAUGGGACCAGGCGAACAGGCUGAGGGCCAUCUUUGCCGAGUGCCACUCUCGGCAAAGAGUGCCACCUUUGCUGAGGGUGGCUCUCGGCAAACGCUAUGUUUGCCGAGUGUGA